rnacentral:lncRNA from 1 species
UCUGGAUGAGAUGAAGAACCCAUUUCACAGGGGAUUCAUGUGCCAUGACCUGAACCCAUGACAGAAGAACUUCUUUCGCUAAACAUGGAGUGUCUAGCUCAGUUCUUUGAACUCAGUGGGAGGCCAGUCUGAACUGACUGAAAGAGAAGAUUGAAUUAUUUUGAAGAUUCCCAUGCCAUACUAUUUGAAGAUCUUGUUCUCUGUCAGAAUAAAGGUACACAUCUCGAUGCUCUGAUACUGCUU